UNUGACUUGAGUGCAGAAGGGGAGAGUGGAAUUCCAUGUGUAGCGGUGAAAUGCGUAGAUAUAUGGAGGAACACCAGUGGCGAAAGCGGCUCUCUGGUCUGUCACUGACGCUGAGGCUCGAAAGCGUGGGUAGCGAACAGGAUUAGAUACCCUGGUAGUNCACGCCGUAAACGAUGAGUGCUAGGUGUUAGGCCCUUUCCGGGGCUUAGUGCCGGAGCUAACGCAAUAAGCACUCCGCCUGGGGAGUACGACCGCAAGGUUGAAACUCAAAGGAAUUGACGGGGGCCCGCACAAGCGGUGGAGCAUGUGGUUUAAUUCGAAGCAACGCGAAGAACCUUACCAGGUCUUGACAUCCCGAUGCUAUUCUUAGAGAUAGGAAGUUACUUCGGUACAUCGGAGACAGGUGGUGCAUGGUUGUCGUCAGCUCGUGUCGUGAGAUGUUGGGUUAAGUCCCGCAACGAGCGCAACCCUUAUUGUUAGUUGCCAUCAUUAAGUUGGGCACUCUAGCGAGACUGCCGGUAAUAAACCGGAGGAAGGUGGGGAUGACGUCAAAUCAUCAUGCCCCUUAUGACCUGGGCUACACACGUGCUACAAUGGUCGGUACAACGAGUUGCGAGCCGGUGACGGCAAGCUAAUCUCUGAAAGCCGAUCUCAGUUCGGAUUGGAGGCUGCAACUCGCCUCCAUGAAGUCGGAAUCGCUAGUAAUCGCGGAUCAGCACGCCGCGGUGAAUACGUUCCCGGGCCUUGUACACACCG
rnacentral:rRNA from 1 species